UACGAAGGGGGCUAGCGUUGCUCGGAAUCACUGGGCGUAAAGGGUGCGUAGGCGGGUCUUUAAGUCAGGGGUGAAAUCCUGGAGCUCAACUCCAGAACUGCCUUUGAUACUGAAGAUCUUGAGUUCGGGAGAGGUGAGUGGAACUGCGAGUGUAGAGGUAAAAUUCGUAGAUAUUCGGAAGAACACCAGUGGCGAAGGCGACUCACUGGACACGUAUUGACGCUGAGGUGCGAAAGCGUGGGGAGCAAACAGG
rnacentral:rRNA from 1 species